AGUGAACGCUGGCGGUAGGCCUAACACAUGCAAGUCGAACGGCAGCACAGUAAGAGCUUGCUCUUACGGGUGGCGAGUGGCGGACGGGUGAGGCAUACAUCGGAAUCUACUUUUUCGUGGGGGAUAACGUAGGGAAACUUACGCUAAUACCGCAUACUACCUACGGGUGAAAGCAGGGGAUCUUCGGACCUUGCGCGAUUGAAUGAGCCGAUGUCGGAUUAGCUAGUUGGCGGGGUAAAGGCCCACCAAGGCGACGAUCCGUAGCUGGCCUGAGAGGAUGAUCGGCCACACUGGAACUGAGACACGGUCCAGACUCCUACGGGAGGCAGCAGUGGGGAAUAUUGGACAAUGGGCGCAAGCCUGAUCCAGCCAUACCGCGUGGGUGAAGAAGGCCUUCGGGUUGUAAAGCCCUUUUGUUGGGAAAGAAAAGCAGCAGGUUAAUACCCCGCUGUUCUGACGGUACCCAAAGAAUAAGCACCGGCUAACUUCGUG
rnacentral:rRNA from 1 species